rnacentral:lncRNA from 1 species
AAAAAAGUGGGCGUCCCCCCUCUUCUUGUCACCAAAAAGAAAGGAGGGGCGUCCAAGAAAGGAGGGGCGUCCAACUCUUAGACGCCCCAUAUCCCAUACAUCUAGACUUCCUUCCCAACCCCUUUUGAAGAAAUUUUGUGAGGCUUUUACUACUGGUUCUUAGGCAUCAAAGAGAGGCUCUCUUGCUGAUUUUGCAGCAGAAAAU